rnacentral:tRNA from 1 species
UGGGAUGUAGCUUAGGUAAAGCACAUGCCUAAUAUGCAUGAGGCCUGAGUGCCAUCCUUAGCACCACAA